rnacentral:lncRNA from 1 species
UGAGAAUCUCUUAGAGACACCCUGCUCAUCAUCAUUAAUGUGCUCUGAUUUACAUUCAGGCUCUUCCUAUCCUGAAUAUGUUCCCAACAUCAAUCUGUCUGUACAGUCUUGAAAAAAGAAUUUAAGUUACCAAGUUAGUGCAUACAUUAGCUUUCUCUUACUGGAAACAGACACUUAAAAAGAGGAACUUUUGCUGCUUUGCUUCUGGUUCUGUGCCAAGGCAACAGGGCAUGAUGGGAACAGGUUAAAGAGCAAAUCUUCUCAACUCCUGGCUGCCAGGAAGCCAGUGAGAGGAAGAGGCCAGGGAAAAGGUCCUGCUGAGCCUUGAAGGGCACAGCCCCAAUGACCUCAUUCCCUCCUGGUAGGUCCCACCUCCCACAGGAUCCACCACUACAUACUAUGGCUAUGCCACAGAGAAACUCCUGUAUCAUGUGGGCUUUUGGUAUAUCAUCUAAGUUCUCCGAUUCCUAGCUGGGGUGAAUGGCACAUCUAUGUAAUAUCAUCCCUCAGGAGGGUGAGGAUGGACAGAUGUGAGAAGUUUGAGGACAGCCUGAGAUACAUAGUGAUUGUGGCCUCAAACUCUCAGCCAUCCUCCUGCCUCAGCUUCUUGAGUGCUACUAUUACAUCAUGGGCCAGGACACUAGGCCUCUUUUAACUUGUUUGAGGAAAGUCCUAGGGCCCUGGGAAGAGAGGCCAAAGAUCCCUGAAGGCAGAAUUCUGCAUGAUGAAGUCUAUGCCUUGUGCGGGUUGCUGGAAGACAUGUCCAGGGAUGAAAGUACCAAGUAACCUUCACACAGAGCCUAAAGAACAGACAGCCUUAACAUCAACAGAUACCAGAAAUGGAUUAAAGCAAAAUUUAGAAUCCCAGUGUGGAAUUCACCCGAAUGUCCCAUUAUGAAUAAAUGGCUAUGACAAUAUCUGUCAUCUAUCUACACAGUAGACAGUUAUACCUUCCUCAGAAAGGACGGCACUCUGACAUCCUGCACUCUCAAGGGACCCUGAGGACAUUGUGCUAAGAGGAAGAAGGCAGACACCAAAGACACACGUGGUCUGAGUCCACAGGACUGCUAGGCAUACAAGGAUCCCAGCGCUGUCCAUUCAUAGGGACAAUGGGAGAACACUGCUUCCCAGAGGCUGUGAGAAGAGACUGGGCAUCCAUGGUUUCAUGGGGUAGAGUUUCUCUUCAGGUGGAGGAAACAAUUCCAUAGAUGCAUAGAGGGCUGGCUGUACAACAGAAGCAAUAGACAUUCACGUGCUACAUAUUAUAUUUUGGCCAGUGAUGGACCACAGAGACAUAGUGCUUAUAUGAGAUGGUUUCACCUCCUGCCCUGCUAGUUCUUAGAGCUGGGUGGAGUUUGGAAGGAAGGGAACAAUGGACCCUGCAAGGAGAACUGAAAGCAGAUGGAGAACAGCAAAGGUCUGUUGAUGGCAUCCAACUUCUGUCCUUAGGCCUCUGGCCGGAAAAGGAAGAGAGGCUGUGGGAGUCAGAAGAUGAGUGGCAGAUGGACCUGCUGGGUCUUUUUGAUCCAGUCCCUCGAUUAGCACUCUACUUCCUGCCUCUGGCCAGAAGAAGCAGAAAGACUGGUCCAUAGAAGUGGAGAACUAUGAGGAGGAGGACAUGUCUGGGUUUUUUUACUUAGCCUAUACGGUAAACCCCCAGCUCUCACCUCAGUCCCCUGGCCAAAAAAAGAAAGUGGGAAUGAUUAUUUGGGUCUAGGAAGAAAUCACAGGAGGCACUGGGCAACCUGGUCUGGGCCCUCAGUGCAUAGGGCUCAUGGAGUUCCCAUAUGGACUCCAAAUGACCCUGAGAGGAAGCAUCUAUGGUCAGUGCUGCUUGAGCACCACCAGGAACCAGGCUGUUAGGUAAGCAGACCUCAGACUGCACCUCCAACAAGGUUCUUUAAGAACAGAAGAAAAGUGCAAUUACUUCCUUUUCCCAUCAAAGGGAGGUCACUGUGAGGCAGGAGCUCUCCUUCCCAGAGGACUCUGGCCCCAUCCAUCCUCAGGGACAUGGAAAUGACACAACUUACACAUGUGUUAAAAUGUUCCCCCAUUGUGAUCAGAAAGCCUGGUUACAGCACCUUCCUGUUCAACAGAACUCUUGCUGACUCUUCUCAGUGCAAAUGGUUUCAGCCCUAAAUGUGUGACCGGGACACCUUCACUCCCAAAUGUGUAUCUCAGAGGAGAAAAGAACCCUCAUGCUUUCUGAGUUUGAAAGUGAUAUAUUCAUAUGUCAUGAGGCCACCAUGGUAUGUUCAAAGCUCCUAAUAAUGCAGGUAUUUGCUGCUACCCAGCCUCUAACUCAGUAGUUCCUCCAGGAUUCUGAGGGUUGAGCCCAUGUCCCCUGUCAAGUGAAUGUCCUCCUCCACCCUCUGCUCAUUUGUCUGCCCUCGGCCUCAUGCUGAACCUUUUGCCAGGCAGGCCCAGUUAUACUCCUCGUCUGCUUGCCCCAUGAGAAACCCUGUGCCAGUCCCCAAGGUGAUGCUCUGUUCUCUUCACACAGCAGACUGUGUUCAAGAGAUGCCUGGCCUGGUGCAAGAACCUCAGGUAACUAACAGAUUGAGCUCCUUUUCCCUUGAGCCAGGCUCUCACUAUGGCACGGCUUAGGGAGGAGAGAGGUCCUACCCCACAGUCCUUCUUCCAUGGCUGUCUUUGUGGGAAGCUCCCACAUGACAUUCCCCCAACUAUUCCCCCUUAGUUCUGGGGACCAUCUGCCUUCAGCUCCUGGGUUUUUUCUGGCAGGCUGGAUGUGUGCACCUUCCUCAGCCCGGGGCCUCUGGUAUCUGAAUGCAGGCCACCGUCUUCCCCAGACAUAGCUUCUCUGGGUGUUGGCAUCUUUAGUCCCUGACCCCUCUCCUAAUUCUCAAGAGCCCCUUUGCUAUAGCUUAGAAGACCCCCUUCUGAUCCUUGGAAGGGCCAUCCUAGGCAUCACAGCCUCCCUUUUCCUGACUGCUCUCAUCUGCAGACAACCUCCAGCCCCUUGACUUUCCAUGAAUAGCCAGGUGAUCCAACCCUGGGGUUCCACUCUGAGUGGAGCCCUGCCCCACCCCAGUCCCUGUCUGCACAUCCCUCUUCCAGGUGUGGCCACUCUCUGUGGUCCUCUCUCCCCAUCACUGCCUCAUCAGUGCUAAUUCAAAUAGUCAUCACUGACUAUUUCAACUGGGCAGGCCUCUUCCUCUGGCAGUACCAGAGGUUCCAAUGCUUCCUGGCUCCUUGAGUACUCUGCCUCCUCCCCACAGUCCACAGGAGAGUGGGGAGAAUGAGACUCAGUGUAUCUUCUUGGGGAGAGGGAGUCAGCAAAACCCCUUGCUUCCCUGAUUUUUUUUGUACUGGGGAUCAUAAUCAGGAGCUUCUGUUUGCAAGGCAGGUAGAGUGGCACUGAGCUAAAUCCUCAGCCCUCUAAUGUGUCUUCUGGUUUGAAACCUCUUUAUACAGUUGAGUCUGUAUAGAAAAAGAUAGCCUGGAAGGACUGUGCCUAAUACUUUUCUUAGAAAAACUAGCAAGGUUUGUCAAUGUUGAAAAUCAUCUUACCUGUGUAAAAAGUACAAAGGGAGCAAAUUUCCAGGGAAAUAUAAAAGCAACAUCAGCAAGCCACAGGGCAGUGUAACGUUUUUCAUAAUUGUUGGAGAUCCUUAGGAGAGAUAAAUGGGGUCAGUGAGUUUUGCUAUGAAGACACACACUAGCUAAAAAACAAAAAAGACUGCCUGCAAAAUGGCAAAACCUUAAAGAUCCCCUUACCUUUGAUAUAAGACAACAAAAUACAAUUCAUUUUGAAAUCAAUUUAACCAAAAAAAUUCUAAAUGCUCCAGCCAUAGAAUUUCCUAGCUAAAAGCAAUCAAAGUUACCAUUUUAGAAAUAAUGAUAUAUAAUUGAUUAUUAAAUAAAAUAUUUUAAAUAUAAAAGCCUAUAUCUCUGUAAAUAAGAUUGGCAUUCAAAAUUAAAUACUCCAGCAGAAGGCCAGAAAAUAGAACAGGACAACUGCCCUUUAUGCCUCCAGGUGUUUAUUCCCUAUACCUAGCUACAGGUUAUAAAUAUCACUGCUUUUAUGUUUCAGAAAAUAGUGAGGGACAGAAUAAGUGUUGGUGAAGAAAUAAGGUAACAAUUAUGGAAAAAUUUUAGGAAAAACUUUUAAAACAACAAAUUAAGAACUAAUUCUGGAAUGCAGAUGAAUUAUUACAGAUGAAGAUUAAAUUUCCCACUCUGCAAUAUGAAACUAUAUUGGUAACCAACAACUUUUACCUCUGAAGACCAUAUGAUCUUUUAGAAUAUCAAAAAAGAAAUGCAAAUAUUUUUGUAAAAAUAAAAUGGCAACUAUCCUUUUUAUAAAAGUUGUAGUGGGUUUUUGAUAAUUCCAUAUUCAAUUGUAGGUAAUUUUUCAAAAGCAAAAACGUUCAUAUUGUUUUGUAAUAUUAUCACAAAGUAUUCAUUAGGCACUUGGCAAUCUUACAUUUGAUCAAACAAAAAUUACUUUUGAUUAGGUAAAAAGUAUAGCAUAUGCAUUCAAGGAUACAAUGCUAACUAUUCUAAGUACCACACUGCAUUCUAUGAAACCCUUGUCUGUCUAGACUGACAUCACCCAAUUAAUCAGUCAAAAAAUACUAUUUUCCUAGUAAUUUAACUGAAAAUGAAGGUUGAUAGGUAGGAAUGGGGAACUUCUUUUACCAUACUCUUUCAGAGGAGGAAAUAUAUUGAACAAACAUGGAAAUCUGGACAGGGAGGAGACAGCCAAACACAAAUGCAGCCCCCAAAUAAACUUGCCAGGCAGAUAACACAUCAGGACUUAGGCUGCUCCUCUCUCAGGCUUUAGCCUCCCUAGGAUGCAGAAUUGACCUCCCUUCAAUCAGAUACCACAGGAGCACCUCAAAUACUCACGUGGGAGGGCGCUAAGUGGUUAGAGAUAAGUAGGGCUUGAUCUCUUUUUCCAGUGGGGGUAUACUUUUAAAUGUAUGCAAGAGUAGAUGUAGACAUUUGUGUACCUCAAAUUUAUAGUUGAAAGAAAGAAAAAGGGAAGGAAGGAAGAAAGGAAUAAAUGAAAGAAGGCACACACACAACUGAUUUUCACAGAAGGUGAAUCUGCCAAGGAUAAGUAAGUGUAGUGUAGUGGGUUCCCUGAGAGUUUACAGAAGACACUGAUCAUUACUUCAUUCAGUGAGAAAUCUCACUGAUAAUCUCAGACUUCUUAAAUUUCUGAAAUUCUUAUAAACUUAACCUAAAAAAUUUGUCCAGCAAAAACAGUGGAGAUAUAACUGGCUAAACUGAGAAGUAUCAUUUAGAAAUCAGUUUAGACACACACACACACACACACACACACACUUUAUGUAACUCACAAUUUAUGUAACUCAGUAUUUUCCAAAUGCUAUGCACUUUUCAUGACACAUAUAUGAAUGGUCCAUCAAAACCACAGUUUGGAAAACAGUCAUAGUACAUCAACUCUUAACCAAAAAAUAAUUAUUUUUCAAAAACUGUUGAAUCCUUGCAAACCAUAGAUGAACACAUAUAUAUUGAUUUGUUAAAGUAUAGUCAUCUAAAGCCUGUAGCCUAAACUGUUAAAUGGAGAUCAAUUUUUACACAGUAAUUUUCAGACUACCUUAACUCUAUGCUCAGUUUAUUGUUAAAAUAACUAAAAACACAGCCUUGGCAACCACAACAAGUUGAAGCAAAUUUUAAGAAACUUAACUUGUAAUCUACAUAGCUGUGUUUUAGAUGUAAAAAUUACCUGAGAAUCAUGGUUAAAAUAUACAUCUAAAGCACCAGGAACGGUUAUGCAAAUCUUUCGUGGGGAGGUGGCAUCCACAUCACAUGGGUGGCUUGAGGUGAGUGAAAGUCUGGGUUCACAUCCAGUCCACAGUGGCAAACAUCAUUCGCCUAACAGAGGGAUUGGCUUCUUCUGGGAACUUUCACUCCAGCCCCACCGGAUCCUACUUCUCAAAGCCAGGCAAUGCUCCAUUCUGGAUCUCCUCACAUCGGGCCACUGAGUA